ensembl:snRNA U6 U6 spliceosomal RNA
UUGCUUCCGCAACACAUAUACUAAAAUUGGAAUGAUACAGAGAACAUUAGCAUGGCCUCUGUGCAAGGAUGACACCCAAAUUUGUGAAGUGGUCCAUAUUUUU